GCAGACUCUUGGUUCUGCCCACGCAGGUCCCGCCCCUCUCUUAGCCUUGCCCCGCCCGCCGCGCAGGCGCCGUCCGAGGGCUCCGUUUGAAACAUGGCGCGGGCUGGUCCGCGGCUGGUGCUGAGCGAGGAGGCGGUCCGGGCGAAGAGCGGACUAGGGCCUCACCGCGACCUGGCUGAGCUUCAGUCAUUGUCUAUUCCUGGAACUUACCAAGAGAAGAUUACCCACCUGGGACAUUCUCUGAUGAGUUUAACAGGUCUGAAAUCUUUGGAUCUCUCACGCAACUCCUUGGUUAGUCUGGAGGGCAUUCAGUACCUGACCGCACUGGAGAGUCUCAAUCUCUACUACAACUGCAUCUCCUCUUUGGCAGAGGUGUUUCGGCUCCACGCCUUAACCGAGCUCAUGGACGUGGACUUCCGGCUGAACCCCGUGGUGAAGGUCGAGCCUGACUACCGCCUUUUUGUUGUGCACCUGCUCCCCAAGCUCCGGCAGCUGGAUGAUCGCCCCGUGAGAGAGAGCGAGCGGAAGGCUUCCCAACUACAUUUUGCAUCAGAGGACUCACUCGACUCAAAAGAGAGCGUCCCAGCUUCUUUGAAAGAGGGCAGACCAUGCCACCCCAGAGCUAAGUGCACCGAGGCCUUGGCCAAGCAGAGCCUGGUCAUAGAUGCGGACGACGAGGCAGUCCUGAACCUCAUUGCAGAGUGCGAGUGGGAUCUCGGCAGACCUCCCGGGAGCACGAGCUCCAGCCAGAAGGAGCGCGAGGCCGACUCUCGUGGUUGCCAAGAAUCCAGACAUCUGUUGAGCCCGCAGUUGGUACAGUACCAGUGUGGGGACUCCGGGAAGCAGGGCCGCGAGACGAGGAGGCGCAGCUGCAGAGGGUGCCAUCUGGAGAAGACACCUUGGAGCCGGCCCUGUGGAGAGUUCCCGCCACCUUACGGAGCAGAGCUGGAGGCCUCCCGGCCUCCCGGGCCACAUGCGUACUUCACCCCAGACCCAGACUCCGUGGAUACUGAGGACUCAGCCUCUUCUCAGAAGUUGGAUUUGUCAGCAGAAAUGGUGCCUGGUUCCCUGCCAGCCCCCGGAAAGUGCAGGAAGCGAAGAAUGCCUGGUGGAAGAUUCCAGGCGUUUUCAGACCAGGAGGGUCUGGGCUGCCUGGAGAGAACUCAUGGGUCCUCCGUGCCCGAGGAGAGCCUGAGCAGACAGAACAGCUCAGGAAGCAGGAGUGGGAGGACCUUGUCUCAGCCUGAGGCCUCAGAGACUGAGGAGCAGAGGUCUCGGGGCGUGACCGACACCAGAGAGCCAUCUCCCGGGUCACGCUCGGCUCUACCCGGGAAGAAGACGACCCUGCAGGCGGCGCUCCUGGAGACGCUCUUGGACCUGGUGGACAGGAGCUGGGGCGGCUGCAGGUCCCUGCACAGCAACAAGGCAUUCCUCACUCAGGCAAGACACAUCUUGUCAUCUGCCGAAGAAUUCACAGCGGCUCAGGACGGCUCUGCGAUGGUGGGUGCAGACGUCGGCUCCCUGGCUCUGGAGAGUAAGUCCCUGCAAAGCCGUCUUGCUGAGCAGCAGCAGCGGCACGCCCGGGAGAUGAGCGAGGCGACGGCGGAGCUGCAACGCACACGCCAGGAGCUGGUGAGCCCGCCCUGGCGCCGUGUCUGUGUCCACGUGACUGGGGGAAACACGGCUUUGACUUCCAGGAACGAGGGCAGCUCCUUGAGGCCACACUGUCCCAACCGCCAUCUCUGCAGCCCCACGUCUCCCCUCCCUGCCCGGCACCCGCUCACCCCCAGGAACAUGGCCUGCCCUGUCUCACAACAGGCCUGGAGCACUUUGGAGACAGCAGUGGCGCUGGCCACCUUCUCUCCUUGGAGGGGCUGGGCUGGGGAGGCGGGCUGGGGUGACGCCAGCUGGAGACGGUCUUUAGUCCCCUGUCCUCUGGCGCAGUCUACCCCGUCCCCUCCCGAGAGGUCCAGUGUACCAGCUGAUCACAGGGUCCCUGCUGCUGCCCUGCCUGGGCGUCCUCCCCCGGACCACCGGGCGCUGCUGGGCGCUGCGGGAGCCAGGCCUGGACAUGACUUUGUCUUGCUGACCCGUCUCUCAGGGCCUCGAAUUGGAGACAGCUGAGGCCACUCUCCUUUUACGAAGGAGAUGACGGCCAGCGUUCCAUGGUGAGCUGGGGCUACAGGGCAAGUUACCCCAGAAUGAACAGCUGAAAACCCACAUUUAUCCCCUUGGAUUUCUGUGGGUCAGGCCUGAGGCUUAGCUCAGCUCAGCUCAGCUAGGCGCGUCUGGCUCCCUCUCAGCUGUGGGCCGGGGCCACCGUCUCGUCUGAGGCCUCAUGGGGCAAGAUCCUCCCGGGCUCCCUCCACACUGCAAGGGCCUCCCCAUGAGCUGCUGGUGUCCUCAGGACAGGGAGCUGGUGGUCAGAGAGCCACACCCAGACAGAAGCCACCCUCCGGGAGUCCUGGUGUGAGGGCAGAGCCGUGUGAGGAGGUGCACACCCAGAGGGGCCUUGUCAGCCUUUGUGAAAUGGGAGUGAAGUCGGCCCAGGACGGCUUCGAAAACUGCCUCUGAACUUACCUGACAAGUACAUACUGUCUGUUUCAUGGGAACCUACAUCUCAGAGAUCCCACACAGCGCUUCCUCUUCAGAGAAGAAAAAGUACAGAUGACGAAACAACACAGGCAGCCCCUGUUUAAACGCACAUGCCCCGCCCACCCCACCCCCCCGGCCGGGUCUGGAAGCCUCAGCACGUGGCCUUCAUCUGGAAGCCUCUGUUUCAACAUCCCCCCUGUCCAGAAGCCUCCGCGUUAAGCACAUGUCCCUGUGUCCAGAGGCCUCUGCAUUUAAACACACGUGGCCCCCGUCUGGAAGCCGCUGUUUAAACACACGUGGCCCCCGUCUGGAAGCCGCUGUUUAAACACACGUGGCCCCCGUCUGGAAGCCGCUGUUUAAACACACGUGGCCCCCGUCUGGAAGCCGCUGUUUAAACACACGUGGCCCCCGUCUGGAAGCCGCUGUUUAAACACACGUGGCCCCCGUCUGGAAGCCGCUGUUUAAACACACGUGGCCCCCCAUCUGGAAGCCUCUGUUUAAACACACGUGGCCCCCGUCUGAAAGUCUCUGGAUUUAAGAACAUGUGGCCCCUUCUCUGGAAGCUUCUGUAUUUAAACACACGUGAAGCCUUUGUAUUUAAACACACGUUGGCCCGCUGUCUGGAAAGUGAGCUGGGCGCUAUCACCGAUGAUGUCUUUUCUGUGGGAUGCAGCCGGGCACACCCCUUGCCCUUCUGAGCCUGGGACCAGACGGAGCCGACAGGUGGAGCCCAAAGGUGUGCUGAGCGCCAGUGUCACCGGGGGUGGGAGUCACGUGCAGCUGUGGCUGCUUUGGACGCCUGCUUUUUUGCCCUCUGCAGUUUGCCCAACCCUGCCCCUUGGGGCAGCCCUGGGCCACAGGACAGAGCAGCCCCGGUUCCAUGUCAGGACGAGUGAUUGGAAGGAUCUGGCAGCCCCAAGCCCCUCGGGUAAGGAGCAGUCAGUACGGUCAGGAACCCCGCGGAGGGAGCAGCCAGGCAGGCUGGUGGGCGCUGCCUUCCAGGGAGGUGCACAUCUGUCACUCCAGAAGCACCCAAGUUUACUCUGCCACGUGAGGACGCUCAUCCCUCGGUCGCAUCAACCUUGACCGUGCUUCCUUCGGAAGCUGCAGUACAGUGUCCUGAGGCAAAGGUGGCCCCACUCCCAGCUGCUGUGCCUGGCACGGCUUCCGAGGCAGAUGGGCUGCGGCCAGCCUAGGUGCAGUCGGUCCUCUGUUCCCUGCGCCUGCUGUGGCCUAGACUCCAAAAAAUAAAAGUUAAACAAUUAGCUAGGCGUGGUGACACGCUCCUGUCAUCCCAGCUAUUUUGGGAGGUAGAGGCAGGAGGCUCAGGAGUUGGGGACUGCAGUGAGCUGUGAUUGCUCCACUGACCUCCAGUUUGGACGACAGAGCAAGACUUUGCCUCAAAUAAACUAAUGAAAAAGAGCUGGGAGCCCACAGCCCUGCCUUAAGAGCUCACCGUGUCCUUGGGAGGCAACACCAUGAGAUGUGACGCUGCCAGGAGCUUUCUGGACGACCCAGAGCACCGCGCAGAGGGCAGGUCGUGCUGGUUGGCACCACUGCAGCAGACACCUUGGCAGAAGGCGCGAAAUGAAGAACUGGCCAGGAUAAGCCUGAGGGGGACAGUCUCAGACCCAGUGAUCAGCUUUCACUAUGGGCAUCAGGGGCCUGUCGGGCACGUGCAUGCUGAGGGGGCUGUCGGUGGGUGGGCUCGCUGAGCGGAGAAGGACAAAGUGGAGAUACCCCCAGCACGAGGCUUCUGCUGUACAGACUCGGGCGCUCCCUCCCCUGGUAGCAGUGAGUUGGGGUCUGCUCAGCACCCCCGGCCCCAGAGCAGCAGCCUGGUGAGCCUGGAUCCCUGGGGACCCUGAUCGCAGCUGCUGGCAGCUUGGAUGGCUCACACCUCACCAGGCACCCUGGGGCCGGGGAGGGGCAGAGGCUGCCAUGUGGCUGCAGGCAUGGCCCUUUCCCUUCCUUGGUGACAGCUCGUCCUGUGCUCUGGGUCUUCUCCAUACUUUGAGGAUGUGAAAGGAGCCAGAACAAAAGGGGGUUCCUGCAGGGCCACCUGUGCCUCACACUGGCACCAAGGCCUGGGACCCACAGUGUCCGUGAGGGCAUCCUGGAAGAGGCAGGGCUCCCCCAGCCACCACCAGCUGCCCUGCCCAGCAUCAGGCCUGCGGGUCCUGCUGGAGCACAUGCCUCAGGGAGACUCAGGAGUGGGGCUUUCACGGGGCUGGGGCGCUCCUUUCCAUCCCUCUCCUCACUCGCCCCCUCCCCCUGAGGGUGCUACAGGGCUGGGCAGGGCAGGCUGGGGGCAGGGAGAUGUGCCAUGAAACCGAAUUACUGCCUUUCACAUCGUGACUCCAAGUAUGCAGAAGGGGAACCCUCGGGAUUCUCAGAAGGUUUCAGUUUUAUUUUCUUACACAUUUUACUGAAUUUGAGUUGCGCAUUUUAAGUGUAUUUUCUGUGUCCCCAGGAUGAUUUGAGACACCAUUUAGAUAAAUCUUUGGAAGAGAACAGUAGCUUAAAAUCACUUUUGUUGAGUAUGAAAAAGGAAGUGAAGAGUGCAGACACUGCAGCCACAUUAAAUUUACAGAUCGCUGGACUUCAAACAAGUGUGAAGAGGCUGUGUGGUGAGAUUGUGGAACUGAAGCAGCACCUGGAGCAUUACGACAAGAUCCAGGAGCUCACACAGAUGCUGCAGGAGAGCCACAGCUCCCUGGUCAGCACCAAUGAACACCUGCUGCAGGAGCUGAGCCAGGUGCGGGCGCAGCACAGAGCCGAGGUGGAGCAGAUGCACUGGAGCUACCAGGAGCUCAAAAAGACCGUGGCCCUGUUUCCACCCAGCAGCACCAGCCGAGGAGGCUGCCAGGCCUGCUGACUCCUGCCGAGACGCCGGGCCGCCCUCAAGCUCCCUGCUCGAGUUACAUCGUCUGCACCUUUGUCCUUCUUUACUGAGUGUACUGGCUG